rnacentral:rRNA from 1 species
UACGUAGGGUGCGAGCGUUGUCCGGAAUUAUUGGGCGUAAAGGGCUCGUAGGCGGUUUGUCGCGUCGGGAGUGAAAACCUUGGGCUUAACUCAGGGCUUGCUUUCGAUACGGGCAGACUAGAGGUAUGCAGGGGAGAACGGAAUUCCUGGUGUAGCGGUGAAAUGCGCAGAUAUCAGGAGGAACACCGGUGGCGAAGGCGGGUCUCUGGGCCGAAACUGACGCUGAGGAGCGAAAGCGUGGGGAGCGAACAGG